UACAGGGGGGGCAAGCGUUGUUCGGAAUUACUGGGCGUAAAGGGCUCGUAGGUGGCCAACUAAGUCAGACGUGAAAUCCCUCAGCUUAACUGGGGAACUGCGUCUGAUACUGGAUGGCUUGAGUUUGGGAGAGGGAUGCGGAAUUCCAGGUGUAGCGGUGAAAUGCGUAGAUAUCUGGAGGAACACCGGUGGCGAAGGCGGCUAUCUGGACGGUUUCUGACACUAAGACUCGAAAGCGUGGGGAGCAAACAGG
rnacentral:rRNA from 1 species